rnacentral:rRNA from 1 species
AUCACCGAAGACAAGUAUCAUUGGGCGCGGUCAGUACUUGGGUGGGUGACUACCUGGGAACACCGCGUGCCGUU